AUUGAACGCUGGCGGCAGGCCUAACACAUGCAAGUCGAACGAGAGGCGGACGGAUUAGAUAUGACUGGGCAACUGCCUGGUGGAGGGGGAUAACUACUGGAAACGGUAACCAAAACCGCAUACAAUCGGAUGUGCCCAGAUGGGAUUAGCUAGUAGGUGGGGUAAAGGCUCACCUAGGCGACGAUCCCUAGCUGGUUGGAGAGGAUGACCAGCCACACUGGAACUGAGACACGGUCCAGACUCCUACGGGAGUCAGCAGUGGGGAAUAUUGCACAAUGGGCGCAAGCCUGAUGCAGCCAUGCCGCGUGUAUGAAGAAGGCCUUCGGGUUGUAAAGUACUUUCAGCGGGGAGGCGUUACCCGCAGAAGAAGCACCGGCUAACUCCGUGCCAGCCGCCGCGGUAAUUC
rnacentral:rRNA from 1 species